rnacentral:misc_RNA from 1 species
AACGCACCUUGCACUCUUUGGUAUUCCGAAGAGUAUGUCUGUUUGAGUGUCGUGAAUCUAUCAACCCCCCUAUUUUGUAAUGAGAUAGGCUUAGUGGGCUUGGAUUGUGGCUGUCUGCUGGCUUUUAAAGUCGGCUCAGCUGAAAUACACGAGUUACCCUUGCUAUUCAUAACCUUUGAACGGCUUGACUCGGCGUAAUAAUUAUUUCGCUGAGGACGUUUAAAAAUGUUGCAAUAGUUUAUAGUGGUGCUUCUAAUGCCAUUACAAUCUAGUGUUAGACCUCAAAUCAGAUAGGACUACCCGCUGAACUUAA